AGCGAACGCUGGCGGCAGGCCUAACACAUGCAAGUCGAACGAACCUUUCGGGGUUAGUGGCGGACGGGUGAGUAACACGUGAGAACGUGCCUUUAGGUUCGGAAUAACUCAGGGAAACUUGUGCUAAUACCGAAUGUGCCCUUCGGGGGAAAGAUUAAUCGCCUUUAGAGCGGCCCGCGUCUGAUUAGCUAGUUGGUUGAGGUAAUGGCUCACCAAGGCGACGAUCAGUAGCUGGUCUGAGAGGAUGAUCAGCCACAUUGGGACUGAGACACGGCCCAAACUCCUACGGGAGGCAGCAGUGGGGAAUCUUGCGCAAUGGGCGAAAGCCUGACGCAGCCAUGCCGCGUGAAUGAUGAAGGUCUUAGGAUUGUAAAAUUCUUUCACCGGGGACGAUAAUGACGGUACCCGGAGAAGAAGCCCCGGCUAACUUCGUG
rnacentral:rRNA from 1 species